GACGAACGCUGGCGGCGUGCUUAACACAUGCAAGUCGAACGAAGUGGCGAACGGGUGAGUAACGCGUCAGCAACCUGCCCUUCAGGGGGGGAAAACAGUUGGAAACGACUGCUAAAACCGAAUACUGACGGAGGGGAGUGCGUCGGAUAAGCUAGUUGGAGGGGUAACGGCCCACCAAGGCGAUGAUCAGUAGCGGGUCUGAGAGGAUGAUCCGCCACACUGGGACUGAGACACGGCCCAGACUCCUACGGGAGGCAGCAGUGGGGAAUUUUGGACAAUGGGCGCAAGCCUGAUCCAGCCAUGCCGCGUGUCUGAAGAAGGCCUUCGGGUUGUAAAGUACUUUUGUUAGGGAAGCGGUACCUACAGAAUAAGCACCGGCUAACUACGUGCCAGCAGCCGCGGUAAUUC
rnacentral:rRNA from 1 species